GACGAACGCCGGCGGCGUGCUUAACACAUGCAAGUCGAGCGGUAAGGCCUCUUCGGGGGUACACGAGCGGCGAACGGGUGAGUAACACGUGGGUGACCUGCCCUCGGCUCUGGGAUAAGCCUGGGAAACUGGGUCUAAUACUGGAUAUUCACUUCUCAUCGCAUGGUGGGUGGUGGAAAGUUUUUUCGGCUGGGGAUGGGUCCGCGGCCUAUCAGCUUGUUGGUGGGGUGAUGGCCUACCAAGGCGACGACGGGUAGCCGGCCUGAGAGGGGAACCGGCCACGCUGGUACGGAGACACGGCCCAGACUCGUACCGGAGGCAGCAGUGGGGCAUAUUGCGCAAUGGGCGGAGGCCUGCCGCAGCGACGCCGCGUGGGGGAGGACGGCCUUCGGGUUGUAAACCUCUUUCGCCCAGGACGAAGGGCUUCUGGCGGUACUGGUAGAAGAAGCACCGGCCAACUACGUGCCAGCCGCCGCCGUAAAAC
rnacentral:rRNA from 1 species